rnacentral:lncRNA from 1 species
UUCCGGCGGCCUUGUUGGCUGAUCUUGGUGGCGAUCGACUCCCCUCAGCGAGAGCUUUCUUUUGGCGGCAACGGCGACACCAAUGGUGGCCGAAAACGGAAGUUCGCGGUGAAGAGAGAAAGUAGGGGCAGCCAGUGUUUUUGGGCUUUUCCGGUGAGCUCCGGCAAGGGAUGGAUGAUCGAAGGACCUAUCCCGAUUCUCCUCAGCUCAAGCUUCGCAGUGACACCGGUUUCGUGGCGAUCGGACUCCGUUUGCAAAUCGAC